rnacentral:rRNA from 1 species
GGNNNANNCCGUCUCGNUUUAGAUUGAAGGAGCUUGCUCCUGAUUGAUAAACUUUGAGUGAGUGGCGGACGGGUGAGUAACCCGUGGGUAACCUGCCCUAAAGUGGGGGAUAACAUUUGGAAACAGAUGCUAAUACCGCAUAAAACCUAACACCGCAUGGUGUAGGGUUGAAAGAUGGUUUCGGCUAUCACUUUAGGAUGGAGGGNCGGUGCAUUAGUUAGUUGGUGAGGUAAAGGCUCACCAAGACCGUGAUGCAUAGCCGACCUGAAGAGGGUAAUCGGGCCACACUGGGACUGAGACACGGCCCAGACUCCUACGGGAGGCAGCAGUAGGGAAUCUUCCACAAUGGACGAAAGUCUGAUGGAGCAACGCCGCGUGAGUGAAGAAGGUUUUCGGAUCGUAAAACUCUGUUGUUGGAGAAGAAAUGUAUCUGAUAGUAACUGAUCAGGUAGUGACGGUAUCCAACCAGAAAGCCACGGCUAACUACNUGCCAGCAGCCGCGGUAAUACGUAGGUGGCAAGCGUUGUCCGGAUUUAUUGGGCGUAAAGCGAGCGCAGGCGGUUUCUUAAGUCUGAUGUGAAAGCCUUCGGCUCAACCGAAGAAGUGCAUCGGAAAACUGGGAAAACUUGAGUGCAAAAGAGGACAGUGGAACUCCAUGUGUAGCGGUGAAAUGCCAUAAAUCA